rnacentral:lncRNA from 1 species
ACUUCCAAGGCACAGGCACUGUCUGUCCUGAGCACCUCAUUUCAGGCUCCAAGCUCAGGAAACGCUCGCUCGCUACUGGAGGAAUGUUACAUCUUGAAGCAGCCUUGGCUCUGUCUGGGGAGGAUGACGUCACAGCUGCUGAGGAAGAAACCACGCCCAGCCGGCAGAACCCCAGAGGGCCCACCCGAGAGCUCCAAAGAAGUAGGAGGAACCAGAGGUCACAUCGCUCAGGAGGAAGAAACCUGCAUUGGCCAAGAGAGGCAUCCUACAGAGAGGCCCAGUGAUGGCUAUA